UAGGGAAUCUUCGGCAAUGGACGAAAGUCUGACCGAGCAACGCCGCGUGAGUGAAGAAGGUUUUCGGAUCGUAGAACUCUGUUGGUAGAGAAGAACGUUGGUGAGAGUGGAAAGCUCAUCAAGUGACGGUAACUACCCAGAAAGGGACGGCUAACUACGUGCCAG
rnacentral:rRNA from 1 species